GUGUACUAAAUAUCUCCUUUAUUUAUUUAAUAGCGUUUCUCCUUGAGACAAAAGCGUAACAGAUCCAAGAAAGACCAGCAAGACAUUAACCAGCUUGAAGUGGCCAGCAUAGCUGGUAGUGUUGCCAGCAGUGGGAGGCCAUUGAAAAGGACAGGAACAAUCGGAGGAGGUGGAUCUUCACGUAAACAAAGUGACCUGAUCAGUAUAUCUGAAUACGAUACAAGAACCGUAGACUAUGAUACUAAAUCCAUAGAUGCUCAGAGUGAAUAUUACGGUGGCCCUCCUGUAAUGGAAGAUCUUCUAUCAAUAUAUGAAGAGCUAGGCAAUGGUAUCAAGGUGACAGUUGAGCUGUUAUUAAAUGAUACUCAAGCAGCUCACGAUGAUUCUGUGGAGACCAUUACACUCGGUACCAUAUCAGUCCCUGAGGACUGCUCCUGGAUUAUGAUGGACACUAAAAUAUGCGACAUAUUUCAAGUACAAAUAAAUAAUAAUAAUUAAAAUUAUU